ACGAGCAUGGGAAUAGGGCUUGUGCAAUGAUUAGAGUUGGACAUUUGAUGUGGUUUAAAAUAAGGCGGAGUUAGUUAGAUGAAGGGCAAUCGUAUCUAAGACUUACACUUUCUGCUCUGCUGGGACAUACUUCUCGAAACACUUGUUCAAUGAGUGGUUGCCUGUGAAAAGAAAGAAAACAAUUUAUUUAAAGACAAUGAAAGCGAAGAAUAUGUGAACAGCAUAAAACGAGUGCCCGAAAUAUUUCGUUCGGUAGAAUAAAAUAGUAAAUGAAACAUAAAUAAGGAAGGAAUAGAGUGUAAUUUUGAGAUGAAAUUUUUCAUGGUCACGUUCGAUCGAAUUAUCGUAUUGCGCGAGGAAAAUCUAAUUAUGUAUAUUGGAAUCAAGCCAAGUUUUAAUAGACUGUCGAGGCUUUGUGUUUAAAGAGGUAGUUGGAUAGUUUAACCUUCGCCCAAAAUUCAUUACGUAAACGUUUAAAAAGAUCCGGGAGAGUGGGAAGGAAAAUUUGUUCGGUAUUAGCCGGAUGAAUAUCUUGGCUUACCGCGGAUAAUUCGUCGUUGGACUUGCUACGAAAUCACCUUCAAAGAAAGUUCAUCGGUAAGCAAAUUUUUUAAACGGAGCUCGUGGGAAAAAAAGAAAAAUCUUACUUUGCAAAAAGACCACCACCCGGAGGCAGAUUCGGUAGCUCUUGGUCCGCAAGAAGCUGGAACAGUUGAAGAUAAUUGAAGGCAGCUUCACCUUCCUGCUGUGCGACGAUUUCUGUUGGAAAUAAAAAUAUAGCAAAGUUAGUUUAUUAUUUUCAUCUGUUGCUCCACAAUUCAUGUAUGUGCUAAUUGAUAAAAGGGAGACAUUGCAUAUUUAACCGUGAUUGAGUGUAUUAAUCGUGGAACAGUGUAUUUUCAUUUAAAUAAUCAUACAAAAAUAUUCAAUAAUUAUCGCAAAUAGAAAAAUAAAACAUUUGGGAAAGAUUGGGGGAAUUAUUUCGUUCAAUAAUGUCUUCGAAACGAUUGGGCUUUUUUUUUCCAUCUGUUGGGAUGUGAAUGAUAAAAAAAAAGUGUAUUUAUAAAGUUUUCGUAACGUAGCCGGUAAGUUUAUAAUAAUCAGUAUGCAGUGAUAAAAUUGUAUCAAGUGCUUUCGAGGAGUCUUAUUCCUGGUUAUCAUGGGCAAACGAGAUAUCAGCCGAUUCAUAAAUGAACUUACUGUUCAAUGUAAAUAACAAAAAAAAACGAAGAUUUUCUUAAAAUAUCGUAAAUUGAAGAGUAAAAAAAAAUAUUUACGUAUAAACGAUUACGAAAUUCUAAUCAAUAUAUACAAAACAUGCAGCUACUUUCGGAAUUUGAACUCUGUUCAAACGUUUACUCACACUACAUUUCUUAUGGACAUAUCUUAAAAGUUUAAAGUCUCGCAAUAGAAUUCGAAUGUUUUUUUUUCUCACUUUAUAAUUGCCGAUCCUUAACAACACGUGACUAAUUGGUCCACCUGUGGAAUUGUCUGUACUCGAAUAGCAAUCGUCUCUCGAAUUUUUAUUCAAUAUCUUUUUCAUUGAUUUUACACCAAGUUAUUUAAUCUCGAGCGAAUAACGGCAAUCGCACAAUGAAUCUCCAUAAGAAAUGCAUUGCCGUUAAACUACUGAGAAGAGGUAAAAGGGAAAUUGCAAGAAAAAAAAUCUAGUGUGUUGUAAACAAGUUUGCACCUACCUGUGGCGCCUUCUAAACUAUUCUCUCUUUUUUUUUUUAAUCAACAGAAAUAAAAGCAUGUGACUUUCAUAAAAGUUUCUAAAUUCUUUUUUUUUUUUCAUUGCGUUUCUAUACUGAGAAACGGUAUGACAACUCCAAUGGUGGACCUAUUUUUCAUUAUUUCGUUUUGUCUUUAAUUUCUUUACUACUAUUUGUAUCGCACGUUCAUUUUACGAAAAAAGAACAAUAAUGAAUGAAUGGAAAUGUGUAAUCAGCGCCAAAAUAAUCGGAAUACAGAAUUUAUUGCAAGUAUUUUUGCACAAUCAGCUAUUGCCUUUUUAUGUUACUUUUCUAAGCUUUGUACCAAGUUUUUUUUUCUCUUAUUACUAUCUUAGUUCUAAAAUCUAAAUGACGAUGAAAGUUUUCGACAGGACAACACAUCGACGGUAUGACAACAAUGUCUUUUGUUUUUCUAUUUCUCUAUCAUGUAUUGGUACAAUAAAGUAAUGAUUUACUGACGACA